rnacentral:rRNA from 1 species
AUUGAACGCUGGCGGCAGGCUUAACACAUGCAAGUCGAGCGGGGUGAUGGUGCUUGCACUAUCACUUAGCGGCGGACGGGUGAGUAAUGCUUAGGAAUCUGCCUAUUAGUGGGGGACAACAUCUCGAAAGGGAUGCUAAUACCGCAUACGUCCUACGGGAGAAAGCAGGGGAUCACUUGUGACCUUGCGCUAAUAGAUGAGCCUAAGUCGGAUUAGCUAGUUGGUGGGGUAAAGGCCUACCAAGGCGACGAUCUGUAGCGGGUCUGAGAGGAUGAUCCGCCACACUGGGACUGAGACACGGCCCAGACUCCUACGGGAGGCAGCAGUGGGGAAUAUUGGACAAUGGGGGGAACCCUGAUCCAGCCAUGCCGCGUGUGUGAAGAAGGCCUUAUGGUUGUAAAGCACUUUAAGCGAGGAGGAGGCUCCUUUGGUUAAUACCCAGGAUGAGUGGACGUUACUCGCAGAAUAAGCACCGGCUAACUCUGUGCCAGCCGCCGCAGUAACAC